AUGUAUGAUGCACUGGUUCACAGCGAGGUUCCGGCUGAUAACAGGAAAUUGUGGAAGCUCAAAAUACCUCUAAGUGUGAGGAUAUUCCUCUGGUUUCUAAAUAGAGGAGUCAUUUUAACUAGAGAUAAUUUGGCACGACACAACUGGCAAGGCAGUACAAAAUGUGUCUUGUGCCAACAUGACGAGUCUAUUAGGCACUUAUUUUUUGAGUGUAAGUUUGCUCGGUCAGUUUGGGUCAUAGUUCAAAUAGCUUCAAAUCUAUACCCCACGUAG
rnacentral:rRNA from 1 species